ensembl:snRNA U6 U6 spliceosomal RNA
GGGCUUGCUUCAGCAGCACAUAUACUAAAAAUUCAAACAAUGCAGAGAUGCUUAGCAUGGUCCCUGUGCAAAGAUGACACAUAAAUCCAUGAAGCAUUUCAUAUUAAA